UGCAGGUGUAGCUCAGUGGUAGAGAGCUUGCUGAGUCUGCUCCAGGCCCUGGGUUUGAUCCCCAGCACUGCAA
rnacentral:tRNA from 1 species